rnacentral:misc_RNA from 1 species
AACUCGUUUGCGUUACGGCUGGGAUUGGUUUUCUUUCUUGGCGUUUUAAUUUUGUCUACGAAAACCUAUUUUUAUGUGACCAAAACAAAAUAUAAAUCGGCAUCAAAUUUCGUAGCCGUAAUGAAUUGGCUGAGCGGUUCGCGUCCUGAAUCAUGUGUCGUUUUGAAUUGAUUAAAUAAAUGUAAAUAAUAAAACAAUGAGAGGUCGGUGUUAAGUGAUUUCUCCGCCCACUGCAAUCAUUAUGCGAUUAGUGAGACGGGAAUUGAGUGUUAAGUCGAUGCUGCGGGAUAUCUGAGGAUGUCUGGGGAAGGCGAGCGGGCGUCGCGCCCGAACUCGCUGGUGCUGGAGGCGCCACCCCCGGAGCGCGAGCCGCUGCACUUCGACGUGCAGCUGGUGGGAGCGCCGCCGGAGGUGGAGCAGCUCGUCAACAACAUCAAACAAGUCGCUGAAGACUUUCUAUAUCACUGGAAAACUUUUCCUAUUGUUCUCCCACCAUCCCGCUUCACCGGCGCCGGGAACCGACCUUCAGACAUCAUCGUAGCACCGCCAUGCGACGAACUGGACGCUGCAGCACUAGACGCGGGGGUAGAACCUCACCCCCUGUCGCCCAAGCAGUUGCACGCUAUACGCGAGAAGGGAGAGUUCGAGGUUCCUUCCCGCCAUUUCCCGGGUCAGACGCACGUUUGGCGUGUAGCUGGCUGGUUACAACGUGGCCGUGUGAGAGCUCGUGAAGAAUUGUACUGUCAUGUGGCGCGGGCUCUGGCCCUCAUUGUUGUCGUGGCUCGCGAUAGACUGCUGAGGGAUGAGCCACUGUCAGUUAUUGCUGGGGCCAAGUCUUUGCUUCAAGGAUUGCAUAGACUUCUGGAUCUGGCUUUUGGAAUGCCGUCUUUAGAAGCUCGCGACCUGGACAAGAAGAUAAGAGAAGAAAGGUCACGUUAUUUAGUAGCUGAGCUGAUAUGUAAGCCGGAGCAUCAAGAAGACAUAACAGCAUUAGCGGCGUGGGUGACGCGAGCGAUGCGUCGCGCGGCCGCCGAGAAGACUGACGCGCGAGAGCCGCCGCGCCCCGCGCCGCCCGUGCCCUGCCUCUACACCACGCCACAGAAGACACAGGUGGACUUACGCCUCUACAGACGCGAGUUAGUGCGUCGCGCGGCCAGCACGUUACAAGCGCUGUUGGAACGCGAGGCUCGCGGCUGGUUCCUACACUUUAGGGAGCGCCGAGCAGCACAGCUCGCCAGUCAGAAGAUGCCUAUGAAGGAUAUUGAAGAGGAGGUACGCGAAGCAGCAAUGCGUGAGUACGUGUCGCGAGUGUGCGCGGCGGUGCUGGCCAGCGAACCGCUUGCGGCGCUAGGACCUGACGUGCCCGCGCUGUUGGCGGCCCAGCUACGAGCCUCUGCUAUUGUUACCAGAGCCGAAGAAGGAGUCCGCAGAAAACUAGAAGCGAGCUUAGCAACCGCCGAAGCGCGAAUAUGUGCAAGCCACCCAAUCCUCUCCCGCGCCGACGCGUGGCGCAAGGAGAAGCUAGCCGCUGCAGCGCUGCGCUUGAAGAACGAGCUGCGCUGGAUGCCCAUGGAGGACGCCGCUGCAGCGAUGCAAGCGCACAAGCUGCAUCAGCAUCGGUACUUCUUGCUGAGGGAUCUAGCGUUCUUGAGGGAUCGGGAGCCGCUGCUUAUGAAGGAGCUGCGCAGCGCGGUAUCUCCUACGCGAUCAUUCACAUGGGCGCGUCGCAUCUGGCGACCAGCUCGCUGGGUCGUCACCCGCCACUUCCGAGGCCGCCGGGAGCGAGUGCCCACAGUACUGUCGACCAGAGCCACUUCUAUAGUGACGCCGCGGUCUGACCCCUCGCAGCCCGUGUUUCUGGUGUCCCGGGACCGCGCCCGCAGCACCAGCACGCGAUGGCCAGCCUGGCGACUGCUCAACCUCGCACACAGAGCGUGGUGCUGGUGUUGGAACAUAAUGUACGUGCUGGGAGUGCUGGUGCCGUGGUGCUCGCCGCUCUCGCUGCGGACGCUGCUCUGCGUCAAGCCCUUCGUACCGGACUAUGAGUUGUCGCAGGUAAACGGAACACUAUUCCCGAAGCGCAGCAGUGAGACGCAGACGAUGUGGUCGCGACUGCUCACUCUGUGGCGAUACGUGUCCAAGGAGAGGACGCGGUUCGAGACUGAACCUGAUACAGGUUUACUAGGCAAAGGCCUAUCCCGCUGCGCCCACCGCGUGUGGACAUACGGCAUCGUAGGCGGCGCCGGCUCUCUCCUACUCCUACUCCUACUGCCGUUACUAGUACUCCUAGCAUGCACCACGUGCGGGACGCUAGCUGUGCUAGCACCGCUGUGGGCGCCGCCACUGGCGCUGGCGACGCAUGCCACUAACGCUGUACUGUAUGACCUGGACUGUCCUGAUCCGGAUCGACUCAAUAGAUGGUUCGUCCUGCUAGAAGUAUUACUAUGGCGCGUGGGAGUGUUGGGCGUACUACAAAUUGUCGCCGCGUUGAUAUGCGCUCUGCUUUUAUGUCCGCUUGGCGCGUUACUAUUGCUCGUCGGCGGUGUGUCCUGGUGGGGAGUCCGCGGCGCGUGGGAGGCGGCGGCGUGGCGCGGCGUGCUGGCGCGCGGCGCCCGCGUGCCCGCGCACGACUCCGCCUUCUGCCGCCGCGUGCGCGGCCCGGGGCUGCACGCCACCACCUACUAUCAGCUCACGAGCGGUCAGGCGCUAGCAGCAGUGUGUGCUCGCGCGGAGCUAGAAGCGCUGGCCACGUGGCAAGCGGAACUCGAGCACGCUAUAGAGCGACCGCUCAGAGACUACGAGCAUUUCGUGCAAGCGUGCUUCGGACCAUUCUCUGUGCAGAUCGCUAAGACUGGAGCAUACAAACAACUGGAAAAGGAGUGUGGCUCACUAACAGCGACGUUACGUGAGAAAGUGAGCGCGCGACGCAGAGAGCUCGCGCUCGGCCUCAGUGACACAGCUCGCGCUAGAGUUAGACUUACCUCGCACGAUCUUAGACGCUGUGUGCAGGCGUGUGCACAGGAGCUGUCACGCGCGUGCGGCGGCGCGGCGCGCUCGGACGAGUGGUGGGCGGCGCGCGGGCUCGACGUCGCCGACUGGCAUGCGCUCGCUGCUAACACACUGGUAGAGGUAUGUACACAUGUGUGUACUGCACAGCGCCGUGCUGCGUGUGCACAGGAGCUGUCGGACGAGUGGUGGGCGGCGCGCGGGCUCGACGUCGCCGACUGGCAUGCGCUCGCUGCUAACACACUGGUAGAGGUAUGUACACAUGUGUGUACUGCACAGCGCCGUGCUGCGUGUGCACAGGAGCUGUCGGACGAGUGGUGGGCGGCGCGCGGGCUCGACGUCGCCGACUGGCAUGCGCUCGCUGCUAACACACUGGUAGAGGUAUGUACACAUGUGUGUACUGCACAGCGCCGUGCUGCGUGUGCACAGGAGCUGUCGGACGAGUGGUGGGCGGCGCGCGGGCUCGACGUCGCCGACUGGCAUGCGCUCGCUGCUAACACACUGGUAGAGGUAUGUACACAUGUGUGUACUGCACAGCGCCGUGCUGCGUGUGCACAGGAGCUGUCGGACGAGUGGUGGGCGGCGCGCGGGCUCGACGUCGCCGACUGGCAUGCGCUCGCUGCUAACACACUGGUAGAGGUAUGUACACAUGUGUGUACUGCACAGCGCCGUGCUGCGUGUGCACAGGAGCUGUCGGACGAGUGGUGGGCGGCGCGCGGGCUCGACGUCGCCGACUGGCAUGCGCUCGCUGCUAACACACUGGUAGAGGUAUGUACACAUGUGUGUACUGCACAGCGCCGUGCUGCGUGUGCACAGGAGCUGUCGGACGAGUGGUGGGCGGCGCGCGGGCUCGACGUCGCCGACUGGCAUGCGCUCGCUGCUAACACACUGGUAGAGGUAUGUACACAUGUGUGUACUGCACAGCGCCGUGCUGCGUGUGCACAGGAGCUGUCGGACGAGUGGUGGGCGGCGCGCGGGCUCGACGUCGCCGACUGGCAUGCGCUCGCUGCUAACACACUGGUAGAGGUAUGUACACAUGUGUGUACUGCACAGCGCCGUGCUGCGUGUGCACAGGAGCUGUCGGACGAGUGGUGGGCGGCGCGCGGGCUCGACGUCGCCGACUGGCAUGCGCUCGCUGCUAACACACUGGUAGAGGUAUGUACACAUGUGUGUACUGCACAGCGCCGUGCUGCGUGUGCACAGGAGCUGUCGGACGAGUGGUGGGCGGCGCGCGGGCUCGACGUCGCCGACUGGCAUGCGCUCGCUGCUAACACACUGGUAGAGGUAUGUACACAUGUGUGUACUGCACAGCGCCGUGCUGCGUGUGCACAGGAGCUGUCGGACGAGUGGUGGGCGGCGCGCGGGCUCGACGUCGCCGACUGGCAUGCGCUCGCUGCUAACACACUGGUAGAGGUGUUCGACGCGGAGGUGCUGGUGGCGCUGGAGGCGCGCGAGGCGCGGCUGGCGCUGGAGCGCGGCGAGGCGGAGCGCGCGUGGGCGGCGCGCUGCGGGCGCGACGCGGCGCCGCCCGACGUGCUCGCCGAGCGCGACGACUGGGGCGCCGCUACACCGUCAGGUGUGUGGUGUGAGUGGGGCGGUAGUGCCUUGCCCCGGGUGUCGCUGCCGACGCUGGAGGUGGUGGCGUUCAGCCCGAGAGCCCCGCUACACCCGCCCGUGCCGCACCCCGCCGCUGUAGCUCUCGUGCUGCACAACCGCGAGUCUGACAACCCAGUGCCGCUGGACUCGGAGCUGUGCGCCGAGAUACUGCGCAGUCUAGAGGACGCGCCCGACUGCGACGAUAAACAUGACUCGGUGGAGCGUUACCGCGGCGGCGGCAGCUCGGGCUCCAGCUCCGGCAGCGAGGGCUCGCCCGACGACGACGCGCACGACCUCGCGCCGCCGCCAGCGUUACCCACGCCUGACGACUCGCUCUGCAGGUAUGUAUCAUGUGUAUGUUACACUCAGACGACGACGCGCACGACCUCGCGCCGCCGCCAGCGUUACCCACGCCUGACGACUCGCUCUGCAGGUAUGUAUCAUGUGUAUGUUACACUCAGACGACGACGCGCACGACCUCGCGCCGCCGCCAGCGUUACCCACGCCUGACGACUCGCUCUGCAGGUAUGUAUCAUGUGUAUGUUACACUCAGACGACGACGCGCACGACCUCGCGCCGCCGCCAGCGUUACCCACGCCUGACGACUCGCUCUGCAGGUAUGUAUCAUGUGUAUGUUACACUCAGACGACGACGCGCACGACCUCGCGCCGCCGCCAGCGUUACCCACGCCUGACGACUCGCUCUGCAGGUAUGUAUCAUGUGUAUGUUACACUCAGACGACGACGCGCACGACCUCGCGCCGCCGCCAGCGUUACCCACGCCUGACGACUCGCUCUGCAGGUAUGUAUCAUGUGUAUGUUACACUCAGACGACGACGCGCACGACCUCGCGCCGCCGCCAGCGUUACCCACGCCUGACGACUCGCUCUGCAGGUAUGUAUCAUGUGUAUGUUACACUCAGACGACGACGCGCACGACCUCGCGCCGCCGCCAGCGUUACCCACGCCUGACGACUCGCUCUGCAGGUAUGUAUCAUGUGUAUGUUACACUCAGACGACGACGCGCACGACCUCGCGCCGCCGCCAGCGUUACCCACGCCUGACGACUCGCUCUGCAGGUAUGUAUCAUGUGUAUGUUACACUCAGACGACGACGCGCACGACCUCGCGCCGCCGCCAGCGUUACCCACGCCUGACGACUCGCUCUGCAGGGUGGGCAGCGGCGCGAUGUGUCGCUGGACGCUGACGGGGCGCGGCGUGCGGCUGCGCGCGGACCUGGCGUCGCCCGAGGACGUCACGCUCGACACCGAGCGGCACCACGGCACCUCCGUCUGAACACAGCC